rnacentral:rRNA from 1 species
UACAGAGGGUGCGAACGUUGCUCGGAAUUACUGGGCGUAAAGCGCGUGUAGGCGGGACCGCAAGUCAGAUGUGAAAUCCCCGGGCUCAACCCAGGAACUGCAUCUGAAACUGCGGACCUUGAGUACUGGAGAGGGUGGCGGAAUUCCUGGUGUAGAGGUGAAAUUCGUAGAUAUCAGGAGGAACACCGGUGGCGAAGGCGGCCACCUGGACAGUCACUGACGCUGAGACGCGAAAGCGUGGGGAGCAAAC